UUUCUGGAGGCUCUUGGAACCCAGGAGCUCCCAGCAAACCUCAGGGCAGUCACGGAAGUCAGAAGCAUCGACCAGAGUGGAUUUUGAGAGUCUUACUAUGUAGUUCAGGUUGGCCUUGAACUCAGCAAUCAUCCUGCCUCAGCCUCCUGUGAGCUGGGAUUAUAGGCUCUUGUUACAGUUCUGCACAAAGGCAGGACACAGCCCAGCGCCUGGACAGCCCUCUCCACUCGCUGCUCCUUGGAAAUUGCCGUGUGUGGGACACAGCAGUGCCCGCCAUGCUCUUCCUGAGCCCAGGCACGUCUGCCACA
ensembl:lncRNA